ACGCGAAGAACCUUACCUGAUCUUGACAUCCCCCUGACCGGCCCGUAAUGGGGCUUUCCCUUCGGGGCAGGGGAGACAGGUGGUGCAUGGUUGUCGUCAGCUCGUGUCGUGAGAUGUUGGGUUAAGUCCCGCAACGAGCGCAACCCUUAUCCUUAGUAGCCAGCAGUAAGAUGGGAACUCUAGGGAGACUGCCGGGGAUAACCCGGAGGAAGGUGGGGAUGACGUCAAAUCAUCAUGCCCCUUAUGACCAGGGCUACACACGUGCUACAAUGGCGUAAACAAAGGGAGGCGAGACCGCGAGGUAGAGCAAAUCCCUAAAAAUAACGUCU
rnacentral:rRNA from 1 species